rnacentral:rRNA from 1 species
GUGAGGAAUAUUGGUCAAUGGGCGAGAGCCUGAACCAGCCAAGUCGCGUGAAGGAAGAAGGAUCUAUGGUUCGUAAACUUCUUUUGCAGGGGAAUAAAGUGCAGGACGUGUCCUGUUUUGUAUGUACCCUGAGAAUAAGGAUCGGCUAACUCCGUUCCAGCAGCCGCGGUAAUACGGAGGAUCCGAGCGUUAUCCGGAUUUAUUGGGUUUAAAGGGUGCGUAGGUGGUUUGAUAAGUCAGCGGUGAAAGUUUGCAGCUUAACUGUAAAAAUGCCGUUGAAACUGUCGGACUUGAGUGUAAAUGAGGUAGGCGGAAUGCGUGGUGUAGCGGUGAAAUGCAUAGAUAUCACGCAGAACUCCGAUUGCGAAGGCAGCUUACUAAGCUACAACUGACACUGAAGCACGAAAGCGUGGGGAUCAAACAGGAUUAGAUACCCGGGUAGUCC